UGCAUGGCAGUUUUCUACACCGUGUAUUAUGUAGUCCUUUCCAUUGGCUUUGCAGUAUUCAAGAUUCAAAUGUUGGAUGGUUUGGCACCUUUUGAUUUUAAGACAAAUCCAUCAUGGUUUAACCCACAUUAUUUAGGUAAUCUAUUUUUUUUUUUUUUUUCCCCAGCCAAGAAAAUAGAUUAAAUCUGGAUGUAAACUCAUUUUCCUUAUUGACAAUAUUUUAGAGCCCUUUUAGUAAUAUAGCGGGCAUUAAAAUUUCAGAGUUUGAUUGUAAUUCAGUUCCUAAACAUACCUUUAUAUAUCCUAAUACAAA
rnacentral:lncRNA from 1 species